rnacentral:lncRNA from 1 species
GAGCAAUGCGUGCGGCACUGCAUCUCUCUGUGACUCUCCCUGCAUUUCUGGAGAAAUCAGCUGCUCCUCGAGGAGAUCCGUCUCCAUCGCUCGUCCGGCUGCAUCCCUUCAUAAAUCUUCCCCAAAAAAACAUCAGCACCUUCUCAGGCUGCCAUCUGUUUAUUUGGUUGGACUUGGAACUUGCUGAAAUGUCUUUCGAUGGAUGAAGCAACGGAGAGUAGAAGAACAGAGCCUGGCAGGCUGCUUGCUGUGCCAGGGAACCACCAAGCUUCCUGGUACCCCGUGUUGGCUGAGAGGCAAUGAGGUUAAGGAAAGCAUAACUGCCAUCAGGAAUUCUUGUAAAGAAAAUCUCCUGGAUGGAAUCUGGAGAUCUGAAGACAUAUUUCUGCUCUCCUGGCCACCUAUGAACAGGAUGAUGGCGUUACAGCUGCCUGCGCAUCCUUGGGUGGAUCUUCAGUGUUCCUGAGCAGAUUUCACCUGUACUAUUGGUCGCCCACUGUGAAAUCAGCCCUGAGCGGGGUUUGCUGGCACUGUUAUCACCUCAGUGUCACCCAUCAGGACAGCAGAUCCGAUGUGUUUGGGACACAGGACAGCCGUGCUGGACAGCAUGUUUUCCCAUGGGUGUUUCGCUGCGUUUCCCAAGCUGAGCUACCAUGUGUUUGGAAUUAGCGCCGCGGUUGCAGGGGGAGAAGGCAGCUGGGUUUCUCCGGAGCAUUUCAGUGCUUAAUCUCUGAAGAAUGCAGAAUGUCUGUCUGGAUGCCCCGGCCAAGAUCAACUCCGCGGCACGGGGAGGCCAAUAUAAACGUUCAUGUUUUGUGUCAC